UACGGAGGGCGCGAGCGUUAAUCGGAAUUACUGGGCGUAAAGCGCGCGUAGGCUGUUGUGUAAGUUGGGGGUGAAAUCCCACGGCUCAACCGUGGAACAGCCCUUGAUACUGCGCGACUUGAAUCCGGGAGAGGGUGGCGGAAUUCCAGGUGUAGGAGUGAAAUCCGUAGAUAUCUGGAGGAACAUCAGUGGCGAAGGCAGCUCACUGGACUGCAACUGACACUGAGGCUCGAAAGUGUGGGUAUCAAACAGG
rnacentral:rRNA from 1 species